UACGUAGGGUGCGAGCGUUGUCCGGAAUUAUUGGGCGUAAAGAGCUUGUAGGCGGUUUGUCGCGUCUGCCGUGAAAAUUCGAGGCUCAACCUCGAACUUGCGGUGGGUACGGGCAGACUAGAGUGUGGUAGGGGAGACUGGAAUUCCUGGUGUAGCGGUGAAAUGCGCAGAUAUCAGGAGGAACACCGAUGGCGAAGGCAGGUCUCUGGGCCACUACUGACGCUGAGGUGCGAAAGCGUGGGGAGCAAACAGG
rnacentral:rRNA from 1 species